rnacentral:lncRNA from 1 species
GCCCGUCCCACCUCUCUCUGCCACUCUGUCCCUCUCUCUUGUUUUCUCCUUCUUCUCCUUCAACUCUUCCCUCACCUCUCCCCUGCUCCAACGGAGCAGCCCGGGGAGGUGGCCAUGGGGCUGGGGGCGGGGCCGGGCCGGGGGACGGUGUCCCCGCAGGGUCAGACCGCGGGAACCGGCGCCCCGGGGCAUGCUGGGAGCUGCAGUCCUGGGCUGCCGGGUGGCCAUGUUGGCUCCCGGGAGGUGCAGCCUCUGCUCCAGCUGCGGCCCGGCUGAGGGUCGGAAUCAUUCUUUCUACCUUUCUGCUGGACUGUGGCCUCCAUGGUGUAUUGAUUAACAGAAAAAAGACUCUACAACUCAAAUAGAGUUAUAAAGCAGGAGUCUGGGGCUGCUACCCAGGAUUAGGCCUCCCUAAAGCAGAGCUGAGUAGGCUCCAGGACUUGCCUGGGAGGAAUCAUGUUUGGAUCGUGUAGGUGGGAGAUUUUCUCAGAAGGUGAAAAAUAUUUCAGGUGGCAUCCUUGAAGGCGUCUGAGGUUGCUACCUGGGAUCUUAUAUCCCAGUAGCAGCGCUCAGUAGAGUCUGGGCCAUGUCUGGGAGGAAUCUUGGUCACAUCCCAGAGAGGAGGCCAUUAUUCAGGGAGAAUAAAAUAUCUGUGUAUAUUCCUUGGAGUAGUCUG